AAUGCCCGCAAGGGUGACCCAGCAACGCCGCGUGGAGGAUGAAUGUCGUAAGAUUGUAAACUCCUGUUAGAGNGGAAGAAUAGUACCGGUUGGACCGGUAUAUGACUGUACCCUCAGAGAAAGCCCCGGCUAACUACGUGCCAGCAGCCGCGGUAAUACGUAGGGGGCAAGCGUUGUCCGGAUUUACUGGGUGUAAAGGGCGCGCAGGCGGGAUAAAAAGUCAGUGGUGAAAUCCUACAGCUUAACUGUAGAACGGCCUUUGAUACUUUUAUUCUUGAGUUCGGGAGAGAGAGACGGAAUUCCAGGUGUAGUGGUGAAAUACGUAGAUAUCUGGAAGAACACCAGUUGCGAAGGCGGUCUCUUGGUCCGACACUGACGCUGAGGCGCGAAAGCGUGGGGAGCAAACA
rnacentral:rRNA from 1 species